UCCCAGGUGGCUCAAUGGUAAAGAAUCUGCCUGCAGCGCAGGAGACGUGGGUUUGAUUCCUGGGCUGGGAA
rnacentral:tRNA from 1 species